GGCGCAAGCCUGAUCCAGCCAUGCCGCGUGCAGGAUGAAGGCCUUCGGGUUGUAAACUGCUUUUGUACGGAACGAAAAGACUCUGGUUAAUACCUGGGGUCCAUGACGGUACCGUAAGAAUAAGCACCGGCUAACUACGUGCCAGCAGCCGCGGUAAUACGUAGGGUGCGAGCGUUAAUCGGAAUUACUGGGCGUAAAGCGUGCGCAGGCGGUUAUGUAAGACAGAUGUGAAAUCCCCGGGCUCAACCUGGGAACUGCAUUUGUGACUGCAUAGCUGGAAUACGGCAGAGGGGGAUGGAAUUCCGCGUGUAGCACUGAAAUGCGUAGAUAUGCGAAGGAACACCGAUGGCGAAGGCAAUCCCCUGGGCCUGUACUGACGCUCAUGCACGAAAGCGUGGGGAGCAAACAGGAUUAGAUACCCUGGUAGUCCACGCCCUAAACGAUGUCAACUGGUUGUUGGGUCUUCACUGACUCAUUAACGAAGCUAACGCGUGAAGUUGACCGCCUGGGGAGUACGGCCGCAAGGUUGAAACUCAUAGG
rnacentral:rRNA from 1 species